rnacentral:rRNA from 1 species
UACAGAGGUCUCAAGCGUUGUUCGGAUUCAUUGGGCGUAAAGGGUGCGUAGGUGGCGCCGUAAGUCAGGUGUGAAAUCUCGGGGCUCAACCCCGAAACUGCACUUGAUACUGCGGUGCUCGAGUACUGGAGAGGAGAUUGGAAUUUACGGUGUAGCAGUGAAAUGCGUAGAUAUCGUAAGGAAGACCAGUGGCGAAGGCGAAUCUCUGGACAGUUACUGACACUGAGGCACGAAGGCCAGGGGAGCAAAACGGG